rnacentral:rRNA from 1 species
GACGAACGCUGGCGGCGUGCUUAACACAUGCAAGUCGAACGGAAAGGCCCUGCUUUUGUGGGGUGCUCGAGUGGCGAACGGGUGAGUAACACGUGAGUAACCUGCUCUUGACUUUGGGAGAACUUCAGGAAACUGGGGCUAAUACCGUAUAGGAGCUCCUGCUGCAUGGUGGGGGUUGGAAAGUUUAGGCGGGUGGGGAUGGACUCGCGGCUUAUCAGCUUGUUGGUGGGGUAGUGGCUUACCAAGGCUUUGACGGGUAGCCGGCCCGAGAGGGUGACCGGCCACAUUGGGACUGAGAUACGGACCAGACUCCUACGGGAGGCAGCAGUGGGGAAUAUUGCACAAUGGGAGGAAGUCUGAUGAAGAAGCGUCGCGUGCGGGAUGACGGCCUUCGGGUUGUAAACCGCUUCCGCCUGUGACGAAGCGUGAGUGACGGUAAUGGGUAAAGAAGCACCGGCUAACUACGUG